rnacentral:lncRNA from 1 species
AAAUUGCACUAGCCAGUUAUAAACAAAGACGGUAAGAAGUCGUUUACAAGUCAUGAUCAAUGUUCAAGAAUGUUAAAUACAUUGUUAAAUAAACUUAGAUAAAAGUGACAUUUCUGUCAAACCUAGAAAAGCAAAUGUUCGGAAUUUUGGUUGAAUCCACUUGAAAUACGACAGGUGAAAGUGUCACGCCUUCUCUCGGCAGGUGAGUGAUGUAAUGCCGAGCUCUGCAUCCCGCGCGCCGCCGCACACAGAGAGUAGAGUAGAGUAGAGUAGAGUAGACUUUAGUUUUCUUCAGCACGUUUCAAGAAACAGGCAUGCACAGUUUGCUGAACGUACCUUCUUCCACGCGGACAUUCUAGCUUUUCCUUGAGCUUGCGUCUACAUGGUGAGGAUGGCAGCGAAGUUUAGAGAGUGCAUGUGCUCAGCGGAUGCGGUGCUCCCUGGAGCUGCUGUAGCGCUUGUCCGCGCCGCUGGAUGGCGGAGUUCAGGACGUCGCACGCUCAGCUGCCAUCAUGGUGAGGUCGGAAGUACGAUAACGCAAAGCAGCAGAAGUUUAUGGCAUAUGUGAGCGAUUUUCUUAUAUGCGCUACAUUUUGAAUCCUGGAUCCAUAUUAAAUGUUUAAAAUAGUCAUAAAUUAAAGAUGGAAAACUUGAGCUGCGUCUUACCAUUCACCACUGUUUACACCUGUUCGAAAAGUAUACUGUAAUUAUAAUAAUGGUGUGAAAUGUUGUAUACUCCUGAGGAAAAAGGUUAUACAUUUCUGCCGCUGAUAUGUCCGUCAGAAAAGAAGUAUUCCAGUCCAGCUAGGUCCUGCAAAGACUAUAUCCUGCAGUCCAAGAGCAGAGUAUGCUGCAACUUGCUGCCCAGGAGCGGAGCAUACUUGCACCUGUGCCACCUGUAAAAAUACCUCAGUCCAUCCCACCCAAGAAGUCAGGUAAUGAGAAGAAUACAGCUGUACAAGACAAAAAGCUCUACACUGUUCUUCCUCCUCCUGAAGGCUACCUCAUUAAUAGUGGGGAGGAUUUGGUCGCACCAUCCAAUCCAGAUCCCACUGACUCAGAGGACAGCCCAGCCGAUGCUGAUGACCAUGAGUUAUGUAAGAAGAGGAAAAGGAGGAGAAAGAAAAAAGUGUUACCCAAUACCACAGAGGAAGUGUCCAACCCUCCAGCAGAGGGCGCUGUACUGGGCCAGACAGAUGCAGCACAUCCCAGUGAUGAAGGGGACACUGGAAGCUCAGUCAGCACAGAGCAGCUCCGCAAGAACAGAAAGAGGAAGAAGAAGAAAAAACGUCUCAAAGAGAAAGUCCAAGCUCUUGGAUUGGUGCCUCGAGCAAGAGCUGUUGAAUUCACGUACGCACAGAGAGAUGUAAAUUCAGAGAAGGUGCUCGACUUCCUUCGUACCACACAAAGAGAUCUACCUCUCUGA